UUGUCCGGAUUUACUGGGUGUAAAGGGCGUGCAGCCGGGAAUGCAAGUCAGAUGUGAAAUCCAUGGGCUUAACCCAUGAACUGCAUUUGAAACUGUAUUUCUUGAGUACUGGAGAGGCAAUCGGAAUUCCUAGUGUAGCGGUGAAAUGCGUAGAUAUUAGGAGGAACACCAGUGGCGAAGGCGGAUUGCUGGACAGCAACUGACGGUGAGGCGCGAAAGUGUGGGGAGCAAACAGGAUUAGAUACCCUGGUAGUCCACACUGUAAACGAUGAAUACUAGGUGUGCGGGGACUGACCCCCUGCGUGCCGCAGUUAACACAAUAAGUAUUCCACCUGGGGAGUACGAUCGCAAGGUUGAAACUCAAAGGAAUUGACGGGGGCCCGCACAAGCGGUGGAUUAUGUGGUUUAA
rnacentral:rRNA from 1 species